ensembl:lncRNA
GGUAUGUUCUAACCUUCUACAGUCACAUGACUCUCCCCCUGCAUGCACGCUUGUUGCUUGUGACUCCAUUACUCCUGAAGAACUCAACUUGCACAGUAGCUUCAUGCUGUUGUCUGCCUGCCUGCCUUUGCUGGACCUAUUUAUCCUUCUCAUCUGGCUCCUUAUUGAGAAGAUGAUACGUACGACAAGUUUCCUGAUGGCGUCUGAAUGCAGUUAGACGCAUUGAACUCAUGCCAAACAUGCCAGCUGACCUUAUUAAGGGAAGAGAAGUGAGACAUGAAGCUGUGUGUUAUAAAGCUGCAGCCCCCAAAGCCCAUCCAACCCCCCACCUCUUGAUUGGAUUGUACACUCUCAGUGAUGAAGGAAGACACAACACAGAGGCUGGCUGCUCGUCUGUCUCUGCACUAUGAAAGCCCUGCAGUCUGCUCCGGGUUGGAGGGUGGUCUCUCCAUGUGGGCAUUCUUGAAUGUAUUUAGAGCUUUUCAGUCUCAAGUAAUCACCA